CCUACGGGUGGCAGCAGUGGGGAAUAUUGCACAAUGGGGGAAACCCUGAUGCAGCGACGCCGCGUGAGUGAAGAAGUAAUUCGUUAUGUAAAGCUCUAUCAGCAGGGAAGAAAAUGACGGUACCUGAGUAAGAAGCCCCGGCUAACUACGUGCCAGCAGCCGCGGUAAUACGUAGGGGGCAAGCGUUAUCCGAAUUUACGGGGUGUAAAGGGAGCGUAGACGGCAGUGCAAGUCUGGAGUGAAAGGCGGGGGCUCAACCCCCGGACUGCUCUGGAAACUGUACGGCGGGAGUGCAGGAGAGGUAGGUGGAAUUCCUUGUGUAGCGGUUAAAUGCGUAGAUAUUAGGAGGAACACCAGUGGCGAGGGCGGCUUACUGGACUGUAACUAACGUUGAGGCUCGAAGGCGUGGGGAGCAAACAGACUUGGCUACCCCGUAGUC
rnacentral:rRNA from 1 species